GUUUGAUCCUGGCUCAGGACGAACGCUGGCGGCGUGCUUUAUGAAUGCGAGUCGAACGGCAACAGACUGAGAUCUUCGGAUGGAUGUCUGCUAGAGUGGCAAACGGGUGAGUAACACGUGGGUAACGUGCCCUAGAGACGGGGACAACGGAGGGAAACCUCCGCUAAUACCCGAUGGUCUGGCUUACCACAAGGUAAGUCGGUAAACGGAGCAAUCCGCUCUAGGAUCGGCCCGCGGCCCAUUAGCUAGUUGGUGAGGUAACGGCCCACCAAGGCGACGAUGGGUAGCCGGUCUGAGAGGAUGGCCGGCCACACUGGGACUGAGACAUGGUCCAGACUCCUACGGGAGUUAGCAUCAGGGAAUCUUGCGCAAUGGGCGAAAGCCUGACGCAGCGACGCCGCGUGGGUGAUGAAGGUCUGCGGAUCGUAAAGCCCUGUCAGGAGGGACGAACGCCGUGUUCUGCACGGUUUGACGGUACCUCCAAAGGAAGCCCCGGCUAACUACGUGCCAGCAGCCGCGGUAAGACGUAGGGGGCAAGCGUUGUCCGGAAUUACUGGGCGUAAAGAGCGCGUAGGCGGUUCAGUAAGCGGAAGGUGAAAUCCCGGGGCUCAACUCCGGGGCUGCUUUCCGAACUGCUGGACUAGAGUAUGGGAGAGGGCAGUGGAAUUCCUGGUGUAGCGGUGGAAUGCGUAAAUAUCAGGAGGAACUCCCGUGGCGAAGGCUGCUGCCUGGAACAUUACUGACGCUGAGGCGCGAAAGCUAGGGGAGCGAACGGGAUUAGAUACCCCGGUAGUCCUAGCCGUAAACGAUGGACACUAGGUGUUGGAGGCAUCGACCCCUCCGGUGCUGUUUUGCUAACGCGUUAAGUGUCCCGCCUGGGGAGUACGGCCGCAAGGUUGAAACUCAAAGGAAUUGACGGGGGCCCGCACAAGCGGUGGAGCGUGUGGGUUAAUUGGAUGAUACGCCAAGAACCUUACCAGGGCUUGACAUGGCCUUGUAAGCCGUAGAAAUACGGCCCCCUAGCAAUAGGCAAGGUCACAGAUGGUGCAUGGUUGUCGUCAGCUCGUGUCGUGAGAUGUUGGGUUAAGUCCCGCAACGAGCGCAACCCUCGCCAGAUGUUGCCAUCGGGCCGAAAGGUGCCGGGAACUCUUCUGGGACUGCCUGAGUAAUCAGGAGGAGGGAGAGGAUGACGUCAAAUCGGCAUGCCUCCUACGCCCUGGGCUGCACACGCGCUACAAUGGUGGGGACAAAGGGUUGCUAAGCCGCGAGGUGGAGCUAAUCCCCCAAACCCCAUCCCAGUUCGGAUCGGAUGUCUGCAACUCGACUCCGUGAAGUUGGAAUCGCUAGUAACCGUAGAUCAGCUACGCUGCGGUGAAUACGUUCCCGGGCCUUGUACUCACCGCCCGUCAACU
rnacentral:rRNA from 1 species